AGGACCCUACCAGAAUAUAUUUGAAUACGGCAUACCCAUGAAUUCUGGAACUGUUAUUCCUUAACCCAGUUUGGAGGAUAAGAGCUUACCAACUAGUUAUAAAUAUGCUGAGGUGAUGUAUUGCAAAAUAGCCAACAUACAACAAUAUGGAUGACCCUCUGUCUGGUCAACAGGAGUUUAAAUAUGGACGGGACAGUGAUGUGGCAGCUCUUCCCUGGCUCAUUCACCUCUUGCCUUCAUUUGUGAAAGGAAGAAAGACUGGAGAGGGUCAAUGUGCAACUGAAGCCACUGAUUGUGCUGUGUGAUGAGCAUCAAUCCAUGCUUUGAGGUGGAUGAAUCAGCACAGCCCUGCCUGCACUGCGUUGGGAACAGAAGUUGCAUCCAGAAUUUUUGCAUCAUUCUGGACCAAAAAGCCAUUCCCUCCAUGAUGAAGACCACUGAUGCAGCCUUCCACUACAUCAUGAGUAAAACAACUACAGAACUAAAUACCAGUUUGGAACGUAUUUAAGAAAAAUGAAACGUCUUGUGAAUUGAAAUGUCUGUUUUGUUAUGGAAAAAUCUUUAGUAUUGUGAAGGAUAAGCAUUUCUGCCUGCCAGUAAGGUAAUUGCAGUGUAUUUUAAUGUUCAAGUUUUGAGUAGGGUGGCUAAUUUUUUUAAAACUCUCAUUUGAUAUAUUAAAGACCUUAUAAUAAGUGGUUUUCAUGUCACUGCGCUGUGGUAUAAGAUAACUUUCAUUAUUCCAUACUGUAUUCUGUUUCUAAUUGUAGCUGAGGUAUUUAAAUAAGCAGUGUUAAAUGCAAAUUGUUGUGUGUAUCAAUGUAAAUAUUAAAUGUGAUGCACUUUAAUAAAAAGAGGUUUUGCAAUAUUUCUUGUCAUUUGUCUUUUAUAGAAACAACCCAUUAGCAACAAAAGUGGCUAUUAAUCAGUAUUUUAACACUUAACAUUGUUGAAUUCACAUUACACUGGUGUUGACCUUAAAUUAGGAGUGUUAAUUUUUAACACUGUAUUUC